rnacentral:rRNA from 1 species
UACGUAGGGUGCAAGCGUUGUCCGGAAUUAUUGGGCGUAAAGAGCUCGUAGGCGGUCUGUCACGUCGGCUGUGAAAACCCGAGGCUCAACCUCGGGCCUGCAGUCGAUACGGGCAAACUAGAGUGUUGCAGGGGAGACUGGAAUUCCUGGUGUAGCGGUGAAAUGCGCAGAUAUCAGGAGGAACACCGGUGGCGAAGGCGGGUCUCUGGGCAACAACUGACGCUGAGAAGCGAAAGCAUGGGGAGCGAACAGG